rnacentral:siRNA from 1 species
AUUGUCCAUAGUCAUUUACUCUA